AUGGCAAGUGUUGUCCCCUCAUGGUGGCCAACCCCAGGGGACAGGGGCGGGACAUGGGGCCAGACAAUGCCCAGGAAGAUGGCCCAAGGCCCUCUCUGGGCUGGGCAGGUGGCCAUGUCCCCCUCUGGGGAGCUCGAGUCCAGAUCACUCUUGCUAGCACAACGCCAGCACCCCAAAACACCCGGCAUGAGGCACCCCUGUCCCUGCCAGGAGGGUGGAGCGGACACAGCCCCGGCCACCCUCACCGCGGAGGGGGAGAGGCUCAGGGCUGCCAGGCUCAUGGAGCUCAUCCCCUCACCUGAGAACUGCUCCUUGGCUCCUUGGCAGGAGAUAAACUUCUGGAUCAGGCAGCUGCAGCCUUCCUGGCCUAGGACUCUGCACUGCUUUCCUUGGCAACAGCCUGGAGUGGAUACUGGAGGAUGGUGGCUACUUGCCUAAGGAUGUCGGAGAACAGGCUGCUUCUGCAAGAGGGCUUGUAACUGAGGCAAGGUCUGUAUGGAGGAGAAAUGCUUAGAAAUCCACAGCUCUGAACAUGGAACGAAGAUGCUAAUGGGCACUAAACGCACUUUUACAGAAGCCAUGUCUCCCAAUCCCCAUUUGUGUGCUUGAUUUCUCUUCAGUCUUCAUCUCUAGAUGUGAGCAAAGGUACUGACAUUAAUUCAGUUAAAGCUGGAUAUAAAGUGAACUUUAUCCUGUAGUUAAUUUCCAAAAACUAACGGUCUGAUAUUUGCAUCUUUAGAUAUUAAUCCUCAAAGCACGCAUCGGUAAUAAUGACUGAUUAGACUCCUAAAAGGAGCCUCUCCUUAAUUCUGUUGUCUCUAACAGUAAUUUUUCCUUCCUUGGAUGCACACAUGUAUUUUGUGCCUCAGCAAGUGUGCAACCCACGUGGCCCUAGCAGAUGGUAACUUCAUAGUCAGGAUGAUGAAGACACGGACUGUGACAGCUACAGCCGGUGUGUAGCUGCACAGAUAAAAUCGGCCCUAACAGACACCAACCCGACCAGCACGGCUCGUUAGGGAACAGAGGUGAAGUCCCCGGGUAUGAUAAUGAUAGGCUGGAUUCAAACUCAAACAGGGGACCCCAGCCAGUCCCACUGAACCAUGAAUGCACCCAUAUCAUUGACCAGUGAGCUGGGUGGAGCUAAGAUCCCAACCACUCGUGUGUGUUAGCACAGGAAAUGUGAGGCUGCUAUAAAAGGAGACGCACAACAAUAAACCUCGGCUGUUGCUGCA
rnacentral:lncRNA from 1 species